UACGUAGGGGGCUAGCGUUGUCCGGAAUCAUUGGGCGUAAAGAGCGCGUAGGCGGCCAGAUAAGUCCGGUGUGAAAGUCACAGGCUCAACCUGUGAAUGCCGCUGGAAACUGUCUGGCUAGAGUCCGGAAGAGGAGAAUGGAAUUCCUGGUGUAGCGGUGAAAUGCGCAGAUAUCAGGAAGAACACCCGUGGCGAAGGCGGUUCUCUGGGACGGUACUGACGCUGAGACGCGAAAGCGUGGGGAGCGAACAGG
rnacentral:rRNA from 1 species